AUUGAACGCUGGCGGCAGGCCUAACACAUGCAAGUCGAGCGAGCGGCGGACGGGUGAGUAAUGUAUGGGGACUGCCCGCUAGAGGUGGAUACCUACUGGAAACGGUGGCUAAUACCGCAUACAGUCGGAUAACCCAUAUGGGAUUAGCUAGUAGGUAAGGUAAUGGCUGACCUAGGCGACGAUCCCUAGCUGGUCUGUGAGGAUGAUCAGCCACACUGGGACUGAGACACGGCCCAGACUCCUAAGGAGGCAGCAGUGGGGAAUAUUGCACAAUGGGCGCAAGCCUGAUGCAGCCAUGCCGCGUGUAUGAAGAAGGCCCUAGGGUUGUAAAGUACUUUCAGUCGGGAGGCGUUACCGACAGAAGAAGCACCGGCUAACUCCGUGCCAGCAGCCGCGGUAAUAC
rnacentral:rRNA from 1 species